CAGUAGCCGCGGGAAUACGGAGGGUGCAAGCGUUAAUCGGAAUUACUGGGCGUAAAGCGCACGCAGGCGGUUUGUUAAGUCAGAUGUGAAAUCCCCGAGCUUAACUCUGGAACUGCCUUUGAUACUGUCGAUCUGGAGUAUGGAAGAGGUGAGUGGAAUUCCGAGUGUAGAGGUGAAAUUUGUAGAUAUUCGGAGGAACACCAGUGGCGAAGGCGGCUCACUGGUCCAUUACUGACGCUGAGGUGCGAAAGCGUGGGGAGCAAACAGGAUUAGAUACCCCCGUAGUCCCUGUCUCUUAUAC
rnacentral:rRNA from 1 species